UAACAAGGAUUCCCCUAGUAACUGCGAGUGAAGCGGGAAAAGCUCAAAUUUAAAAUCUGACAGUCUUUGGCUGUCCGAGUUGUAGUCUGGAGAAGCGUUUUCCGCGCUGGACCGUGUACAAGUCUCUUGGAACAGAGCGUCAUAGAGGGUGAGAAUCCCGUCUUUGACACGGACUACCAGUGCUUUGUGAUGCGCUCUCAAAGAGUCGAGUUGUUUGGGAAUGCAGCUCAAAAUGGGUGGUAAAUUCCAUCUAAAGCUAAAUAUUGGCGAGAGACCGAUAGCGAACAAGUACCGUGAGGGAAAGAUGAAAAGCACUUUGGAAAGAGAGUUAAACAGUACGUGAAAUUGCUGAAAGGGAAACGCUUGAAGUCAGUCGCGUCGUCUAGAACUCAACCUGGCUUUGCUUGGUGCAUUUUCUAGUUGACGGGCCAACAUCAGUUUUGACUACUGGAAAAAAGCCUUUGGAAUGUGGCACCUACGGGUGUGUUAUAGCCUUGGGUUGUAUACAGUGGUUGGGACUGAGGACCGCAGCACGCCUUAUGGCCGGGGUUCGCCCACGUACGUGCUUAGGAUGUUGGCGUAAUGGCUUUAAGCGAC
rnacentral:rRNA from 1 species